rnacentral:misc_RNA from 1 species
UUUCCGUAGGUGAACCUGCGGAAGGAUCAUUACAGAGUUCAUGCCCUCACGGGUAGAUCUCCCACCCUUGAAUAUUUAUACCUUAGUUGCUUUGGCAGGCCGUGGAAACACCAUAGGCUCCGGCUUAUGCGUGCCUGCCAGAGGAAACAAACUCUGUUUUUAGUGAUGUCUGAGUACUAUAUAAUAGUUAAAACUUUCAACAACGGAUCUCUUGGUUCUG